CGCCAACACGGGGCUCAGGAUACGGAUCCAUAAUUGCUGUCAGACACUUGAGAUUCUUCACCCUUACCCUCGGCUGACAGGGCGGUCACAACCAAUUUUACCAGAGAUAGAUCCUGUCCCAAUAUUUUCAGUUAAGGAAAGAUGCUCUGAUGGAACAAGUCUGGAAAUGAUGAAACUAGCUGACCACAUUCGUACAGAUGCUGAUUUUUCACAUCAACACCUCUGGAAGGAUGUGUAGAAAUUUUUUGUCUGGUUAGGUCUCAGCAGCAGGUGACUUUCUGCUGGAAAAAGAGAAGGCUGUGAAAAUUGAACACGUCAAGAACAGAAGGCGAAGCGUCCGUUUUUGUGGAAACCACAAUGUUGUUUCUGUAGGAUAUAUGGCUGCUCAAUCAAACAUGUAAAUCCCACUCACUGACCUGCUGAGACCCUCCGUGCUGCCAGAAAGGCUAAAAUCAACAUGCGGGGAAGCAGUUCUCAAAGUGUCCAGUUCUGGUAGAGGGGAUGUGUUCAUCACCUCCGGGCUUGGACUCCUCAGCUCUGAGAUAAUCUCACUCUUGUAUCCUGAGAAGGCUUCUUUAUCGAAUCACAGCAUGUGACCGAGGUCAAGAGCAUCGGAAGCUAUCUGACCGGACAACCUCAAGGCCAAUUAGCAGCAAGGAAACCCAGAAAAUGAGAAAAAGGAAGCAUUCAGAGGAAAAACAUAAAGCUAAUAAAAUGUGACAAAAAAUGUA